GAGCUAGAGAAACCAGCUGCUCUUGGCUUGGACAGGUGCACUGUUCACUGGGUAAAAAACUGGUUGGAUGGCUAAUCCCAGAGAGUGGUGCUGAAUGGUGCUGCCUCCAGUUGUUGGUGCCAUCUGGAGCUCUGGGAAUCAUAUCCAAUUCUCUCACCAAGUUUAAAAAUGCUGCAGCACUCUAAAAGGAAGAAGAGCACCAUCUCUACUUGCAUCAGACUGGAACAAUGGCAGGCUUUUUUUUUGGGACAAGUGUUUUGGUUUUGCUUGGCAUAACCCAUUAGUUUUUCUAGCUUAAACCAUCUAUCAUUUAUUUGAAAUCAGAGUCCAGAAUGUCAGGAGUUCCUGACAGGCAUUUUGGGACAUGGAAGUUUUCUAUUUAAACUUCAAAAGGAUGUGGUAUUACCCAAACUGGUGGCUGGGAUUGCGCCAACAAGAGGCAGCAGGAAUGAAGCACAAAGCCUCUGCAACUCUUCCCUGGUCCUGCUGAGAUGAAGGUACUACCAAACACUUUUGGCUCCACUGCUGCGUGCCCUCAAGUGCUGUCACAACUAAAGGCUGGGAGAAUAGGAAAACACUGUCAGGUGGAAACUGCUUGUGAAAAUAUAAAUCAGUCAGGUAAACCCCACAAGAGCUAGUCUGGAUAUUCACUCUGCAAAACAAUGCACAACUCUUUGAGCUGGUAGAGUCACAGCUUCAUAACCCUACAGGGAAAAACAUGGUUCUGUUUGAUCCUGUGACAUUUUGUUCCAGGCACCACACAGCUCUACUUCCAUGGUAUUGCACUUCAGCUUCUAAGGUGCAGUAGGACUCUGCAGCAACUUUUCACUUCAGGAGAGGCACCUCAGAAACAAAUCUGGGGGCAUAUGGCUUGGCUACUAGCCCAAGUUUAAAAGCCUCUGUCAGCAGAGUAGACAUGUCUUAACAUAAGCAGCUAAAUUCAGGAGUUGAAUAAAAGGUGGCAUUUUGAGAAGACAUUAAACAGAGAGAGGGACACCAAUGGCAAGGAAAAUACUGAGGAUAUUAGAGAAAGGUCAGAAUAGGAAAGGAGUACAAUCUUUUAUGCUGCAAGAGUCCAAUUCAGGUAAGCAAGUAAGAUAAUUUGCAGCAAAAGAAAAAAAUUUAGUUCUAGUUACAUUUCAAGUUAUGACAACAUAUGUGGAGUCCUAAAUGUACUACAAUCUAUUGCUUAGAAAUUGUCACACAGUUUUAAGGAGAACAGCACCAUAAAUCCAGACAAA